rnacentral:lncRNA from 1 species
GGGAAGGACAUCUCAGAGGGAGUGAGUAGGGAGUAGGAGUAGAGAGAAACAGGAAAGAGACAGCUUCUCUGAGCAGCAAAUCCCCAAAUCUUCACACCUAUUAUCACCACCACUUUCCCUCCUCCUUUCUCUUCAGCUUGUGGGUAUUCUCAGAAGGAUGGGGAACAUAACUCAUAGUCACCCUGGAGAAUGACUUGCAUUCUCAGUAUGUCCAGUCAGCACAUGUAUAUCUCAGCCUCAGUAAUCACAAGAUUUCAGGGAAAAUUAAAAGCAGUUCCUCAUUGACGAUUGGUUGGGGCCCCUGUUUUUUUUCUUCCUUUUGGGGAAAGGGCAUCAAGAAGGAGGGUGAAAGGCAAGAGGCUGAUGAGAAAUAGAAGAGAAGAAAAUGGUGCAUGACGGGAGAAAUGAAGACAGAAGAUGGCAAAAAGUAACCGAAGAGGAGUUGAAGAUCUGGAUCUGAGUCCUAGACUCUGUGGCUGGGCCAGGCUUUCUUCCAAGUUCCUGAUGCUUCCCACUCACCUGCCUCGAGUUCCUUACAUUAUCUGCUUCAGUGGAUUUUUCUGGUGUUCAGGCCCUGGUUAUGAUGGGGUGCUUGGGUGCUUGUACUUGGACCCCACUUCCAAGAUCACAUUUCUCCCUAGUCUCAAAACACUAUGCCUGACAAUUUUCUCCCCAGCCCAAAGACCUUAUCUCUGGCAAUAACUCAUGAGUGGGCCCAGUGAGGCCCACUCUCUCCUUGAUAAAAGAACAAGCUGACUUCUGUAGAAUUUCCUUUGUACUAUCUUGUAUCAACAAAAUUAUCAUGUACUGAUUCCCACAGUUAUUAUGUACUAUCCAGAGGUCAAGUUAUAGACAUCAGCUCCCGAAGCUGUCUUGUUACAGACAUAACAGACCAAAAAUACACCCCUUAAGAAACCUCCUCCCUGGUUUCCAGUAGUGAAUGACGUCUGUGACCAAAGUUGUAUGUUAUCACCUAAUUAGCAUACUUGGUACAUAAUCCACUGCUUUUCCUAUAUAAGUUUUAGCAUCAUUCCUGUUAGGUUGCAGAAUUCUCUAAGGAGCUCUGCCCACCAUAUUAGCAUGACAAUAAACCUUUGCCAACUUGACUUAAAGAAUGCA